GUGGCAUAUAUACACAAUGGAAUUUUACUCAACAAUAAAAGAGAAUAAAAUCAUGGCAUUUGCAGGUAAAUGAAUGGAAUUAGAGAAGAUAAUGCUAAGUGAAGUUAUCCAAUCCCAAAAAAGCCAUGAGCUUUUUUAAUGCCAGAAUUUUUGAGGUAUUAUUUCACAAGAAAUAGAGGUCAAAGUUUUACACACUCAUGAAGAUUAAAUAGUCACUUGCUCUGAAGAACAAACUGUGUUGUAUUUGAAAGAAAACAAACCCUCCCUGUGAUAAGGCAUGCAAAUCUUCAAGUAUUUAGAAGGGAGGUGAGUUUUGACAUUGCUAGAGAAAAGUGUCCUGAUUGACCUACAAUAUCCACUCUUGGCAUGGUCCACUGGCUCAGAGGAAGGUUAAACAGAGAUCGUCUUAUUUGAAUUCCCAACCAAGUCUAAGGUGGUGGAGUUUGCAAAACAGAGGAAACCAGGUCUGCGUCUCAGGACUUGUGACAGAAAGAUAGGUGUAUCUUGUGUGGAGAGUGGCCUAAAGAAAGGGUGACUGAAGGGUGACCCAAUGACAACUGGGAGAAAGAUGAGGGAAAGGAGAGAGUAUGAACAAAAAACACCUUUCUAAGGCCUGCAUGGAUAGAUCUUUCUCCCCUCAGAUAAAACCAAAAUAUUAAAUGUAGAAUUUAAUGAUCACUACAUUAUAUUUCAUGCUGUUUUGGAACACCCCUUGAACAUUUGGUAAAAGAAAACUGAAAUGCACAUGUGAUCGUAGUUAGUGUCGGUUGGUAAAAAGGGUUCUGGAAUGGUUAUCAGUCUAAAUUGACAAGAGUACCAAAUAGGCUAUUUUGUAAACCACCAGGAAAGGGUUGUCCAGCCUGAAAGAUUAUGUGUUCUUGUUCUCUGUUUUAUCUUGGGAUGGAAGUUAGAUGCCUCCUCUACUGGAUGGAGAAGAGUCCUGCUCCCUAUUCCAUAUUAACUAAAACUCUCAAUUGGAGUAGACAUUAUCAGGCAUUUGAGACUAGUAGAACUUAAUUGAAAUUUUCUUUCUGAAGUAAAUAAAAGAUUUAAAAUUUUAUAAAAAUAAUUUUGUUUUUGAGAGAAAACAAAAUAUCUUCUAUCAACAACAAAUUAACUUCUUUUUAAAAUUUAUUCCUCUCAAUUUUUUUUCUUUCUGUUAUGGAUACCAAUAACUAUGAUGCAAUCAAGAAGAAUAAAAGUAUACCAAAUUCUUUUCACUUAGAAAUAUUUAAAAAUUAUUUUCUGAGUUUCAGAUAGUUUUGGGAAAAGGUUAAAUCUGAUCCAGGCAUCUGGGUUCCAUUAUCUUUUUGAUCUUCUCCUCACCUGUUGGGUCAGUGUGACUAAGAUGACAGCCCAACUACAGGCACUAAUUACACACUAGUGGGAUCAACACAGUAGGCAGAAUAUGUUGAAAUGUCUAUGAGAGUUUUUCCACAUGCUAAUGGGUUCUGAGGACAGGUUGAUAAUUCAUAUGUUUUUGUAUCUAGGUAGAGGUUGACCCUCAAGCAACAGAUAAUUUAAAAAAUCAAUUUAAUAAAAAUUAGCCAAAUAAAUUAGAAUAUGUUACUAAGAAGAAAAUAUUAUAUAGAUCUAUAUAUAAUUGAAAAUAUUUAGAUAUCUGGAACUAAAAAAAUUGCAAUUUUGUAUGCUUUAAGCUAAUAUAUAACUGAUACCUUGAACUUCUUUUUCCCCCCCUUUUUCUAUUUAUCCUAUUGCAGAUUUACCAAAGAAGAAAAAAUAAAAACAUUCCUUUCUCCACUUUUGAAAGAUGUAUUCAUAUUAAAAGUGCUCAUAGUAUUUCUAAAAAUUUUAGCUAUCUUUACUGGUUUUCUCUUACCAAGUUUUCUGUUUUUGUUUUUUAGAUCCACUAAUGACCAAGAGGAAAGAUGGACACAUGCAGUUAUUUUGAGCUGAUUUUAAGAUGGAAAGAGCAGAUUUUCCUAGCCCUAGAGGGGCUUUCUCAAAAUACAGAGAAAGGUCAUGGGUCGCAUUAGGUAGAGGUGGGCAGACAUGGGCUACCUUCUCAUGCAGGAUCCUGUGAAGGGUCAGGGCCUCUUGGGCACUGGUGAGUGAUUGCAGGUCUUUGAAUCUUGUAGGAGAAAGACUCCAUGCUCAAGCUUUAGAAGUUGUUUUAGAAUGGAUGAUAUGGAAUUGGUGAUCAUCACCACACUCAAGGAUAGUGGUUUUUCCUCAGAUUUUCUGGCUAAUACUAUUAUAUGCUUAUAUGAGUUUGGGAAGGACUCCUAAACAAAAUUUAACUUGAAAUUUCUCCUUAACUUCAUCAGGUGUGGGCAGAGCCAGCUUAAUCUUAUUAUAUGCACAUGCACACACCUCUGAGUGUCAUAGAGGAAAUUUAUGCUUUUUACCUGAAUUUGGUACAACUCAGAUCAGAAAAUUGACUGGAUUUUCUACUUUUCAAGGAGUUACUUUGCAUCAUAGAGACACAACUUAUACUCAUCCUUUCACAUGCUUUUAUUAGUUAUUUGUGCACAAGACCACUUGGAGACAAUAAGCUUUCAGAAAGCAGGUAGAAAUCAUGUCAUAUUGGAUGGUGGCUUUCAAGACAAAAGAUUUGAGAUUAAGUUAUAACUCUGCCUGUUCUCCAUAACUGUGUGACCUUGGGUAAGAUACUUGAUAAUGUGGGUCUUUUGUUUUCCCUCCUGUACAGUGAUGGUAAGAACAUCCACCUCACAGAGAAUAUAGAGCUAUUAAGUAGAAUAAUACCUGGGAAAUUGACUUGUAAACUGUUAAUACCAUAGCUCAUUAAGUGAUUACCAUUAUUUAUAUUCCUGCAACAUCUAUCAUGAGAGCAGAUCCUCAAAAAUUAUUUAUUUAGUGAAUGAUGCAAUGAACAAAUGAAGGAAAAGCUACAUUAACAAUCUGCUGGUAAGAAAAAAAAUACUCUUCUUUCCAUAAGACUGUCUCUGAGGUUCUGAGGCAUUUAUUUCUGUGCAUUACUAAAAUAUGGAAAUCAAUAAAAAUCAUUACUAAGAAUUAAAUAUCAGUAGAUUAUAUCAACUUUGAUAUGAAGCUGAAUUUCUUUUCUGAAUAUAUUGACUAUUCAUAAACUGCUGGGCCUGCAUUUUCAGUGUUUAUGGUAUUAGUGGAACCCUUCACAUGCAUCACAGCUUUGUAGUUCCUCUGGGACUAUCUAUUAUUUCAUGGAUCCAUUAUCAUCUAUAAUUCUCUUGAAAAACCUAAUAAAAUUUACUGGAAGAUGCCUGUGCUGUGUAUUGUCUUCAAACAUAAACUUUCCCACAUCUUUCUUGAAUGUUGGCUUUUCAGAGGGUGUGGUAUUACUGAAAUGUUAGCUCACUUGUGCUGCAGAUUUACACCUCUCCAAGGUAAGGAACAAGGCACUGCUGUGCUGGUGAGACAGGGAUUUGGGAACCAUGAGAAUCUGUGAAUAACUUCACACUACUGCUGGGUCAACCAAAUCUAAUAUGCAACAAUGCUAUGAACCAGACUCAAUGUGCAUUAAAUCAUUUAAUUUCAACUAUGUCCAACUAUAGAAAAAGAAUGAUCUUCUUCUUUCUGGAGAAAAUGCAUUAUUCCAGUUAAAUAAUUUGCAGAUAUUUAGAUCAAACAAAAACUAGUAUAUCAUUGAAAUCCUGGAACUGCACAUGCCAGGUUGUUUCUCAUAAUUUUCCUGCCACUCUUUGAGCAUUGUUCCUAUGUUGUUAGCUUUCUUUAGUUCAAGUUGACUAUUUUUUUUUUUCAAGAGGUCAAUGUUAUAAAUUGGUGGGGUCACUAACUAUUGUUCCUGCUCAGGGGUCUUAAAUUUGUCCUGUUCUGUGUUCUUUGCUCCCUGCCAAAUACAUGGGGGUAGCAUUCCCUCUACCACUCAGUAUGUGUCCCAGUUUUCUAUAUUUGGAGCUAUGAGUAUUCUAGAGCACUGUGUUUAUUUUAAGGUAGCCACAGUGGGGUGGUGGAUAUUUGAGGAACCAAACAGGCUUUUGACACAAGCAGACAUCACUUUAGCUGGGCUGUAGCUGGGUGAGGUAGUAUGUAAGAAGCGAGUGUGUGGAUUUUUUCAAGUACCAGAGAAUGGAUCAAAUACAUAGGUCAUGUUAUAUGCUAAAUAAUGCGUUCCAAAGAUGUGAAUGUCCUGACCCUUGCAACAUGCAAAUAUUGCUAUAUAUGGCAAAACAAUUAAGAUCUUGUGAUAAGGAGAUUAUCCUGAAUUAUCCAGGUGGACCUUAAAUGUAAUCACAGGGAUCUUCUUACCAGGGAGGCCAGAAGGUCAAAGGUGAAUGGCAAUGUGAUGAUAGAAGCAAGGAAAGGAAGAUGGUGUGAUUUGGGUCUUGAAGCAAGGAAUGACAGCCUCUAGAAGAUAAAGAAGACAAGGAAUGGAUUCGCCUUAAAGCUUCACAGCCCAAUAGGACUGAUUUUAGACUCCUGACAUCCAGAGAAUCAAUUUGUGUUAUUUUAAGUUACAGUGUUGUUAUUUUGUUAUAUUUGUUAUAACAAAUACAGAUGGAUCUGGCUUACAUGGACUGAGCUGUUCUGGGUGUUUGGUGCUGAGAACUUUUCUCCCUUCUCAGUCAUGCAUCCUAGCAGGCCUGUAAGCAGAAGCUCCUCUUUCACUGGUUUCUCUUGGGCAGCAACUGGUCCUUUCCUUCAGGCUAAUUUCUGAGAUUAGGCCCCAGGUGUUAGGAGGCUCUCCAAUGAACCUCACCCUCCAGAGUCUCUUCAUUCUUGUCUCUAUCCCUUCACUUUAUGAAGAGAUUAUUAUUUUCUUCAUUUUCUAUCUCAGCAGAUUUUGAUGGCCUGUAAACUUUAGAACCAGAAUCAGCUGCAGGAGUUAUCUCCUUUUCUCAAAAUCAUGGAAGGCUUAAUUUUCAAAUGUUCUUUGGCGAAGACUAGAAAUGUUUAUAGUUCAGCCAUCCAAUGCAACAAAAAGAGGAAGGUAAACCAAGCAGUUGCAUUUCUGCAUGAAAACAAAUAGAACACUUGUGCCAUGCCACACAAGGGUGUUAUGGAAUCCCUGGGUGGCCUUGCUUACUUGUUGAUAUGGUAUAGCUGGAAUCACUGUUGGGUUGCAAACCCAACACCCAACUCCUCCUGGUCUAUUCUUUGAACUUAUAAUUAAAGACAACUCCAUACUAUGGGCAGAGCUCUUAUAAAUAAUUGUCCUCUGUAAUUUCUUAUCUUGGCAAAACUUAACCACAAUCCAAAUUUUAUACUAAAAAAUUGUGUAAAACAAGAGAUUGCAAGUCAAAAGCAAGCAUUAUGUGAGAGUUGGAAAAAGUCUUAUCUAUCCAAAGCCAUAAUUUCCAAAUAAAACUCCUUUCUGAGUUGGCAGCACAUAUGUCUAAUUUAGGCCUAUUUUGAAUAAAAGUGGCUGAGUUAUCAAAACUCCAUUAACCUAAUUUGUUUAAAUGGAAGUAGUACCUCAUGCUUGGCUUAAACAGAAUUUGAAUGAAAAGGGAGAAGAAAUAUCACUCUGUGUAAUUAAGGUGGCAGACCCUACUCACUUAUAAAAAGAGAAGAUGUAAAGUCAACAAAAGAUACUGUUUGGCUUUGAAAAUGCUAAAUAAAUGGAAAAUAGUCUAAUGGUAA